CAGCCGCCGCGGUAAUACGUAGGGUGCAAGCGUUAAUCGGAAUUACUGGGCGUAAAGCGUGCGCAGGCGGUUAUAUAAGACAGAUGUGAAAUCCCCGGGCUCAACCUGGGAACUGCAUUUGUGACUGUAUAGCUAGAGUACGGCAGAGGGGGAUGGAAUUCCGCGUGUAGCAGUGAAAUGCGUAGAUAUGCGGAGGAACACCGAUGGCGAAGGCAAUCCCCUGGGCCUGUACUGACGCUCAUGCACGAAAGCGUGGGGAGCAAACAGGAUUAGAUACCCCAGUAGUCCUGUCUCUUAUACC
rnacentral:rRNA from 1 species